rfam:Schistosoma curassoni strain Dakar, Senegal genome assembly, scaffold: SCTD_contig0020057
AUCUAGCUGAUGAGUUCAAAAUAGGACGAAACGCGCCUCCUUGAU